AUUGAACGCUGGCGGCAUGCCUUACACAUGCAAGUCGAACGGUAACGCGGGGCAACCUGGCGACGAGUGGCGAACGGGUGAGUAAUGCAUCGGAACGUACCCAGUAGUGGGGGAUAGCCCGGCGAAAGCCGGAUUAAUACCGCAUACGACCUACGGGUGAAAGGGGGGGAGUCGCAAGACCUCUCGCUAUUGGAGCGGCCGAUGUCAGAUUAGGUAGUUGGUGGGGUAAAGGCCUACCAAGCCUGUGAUCUGUAGCUGGUCUGAGAGGACGACCAGCCACACUGGGACUGAGACACGGCCCAGACUCCUACGGGAGGCAGCAGUGGGGAAUUUUGGACAAUGGGCGCAAGCCUGAUCCAGCAAUGCCGCGUGCGGGAGAAGGCCUCGGUUGUAA
rnacentral:rRNA from 1 species